AGAACGAACGCUGGCGGCAUGCCUAAUACAUGCAAGUCGAACGAACUCUUCGGAGUUAGUGGCGCACGGGUGCGUAACGCGUGGGAAUCUGCCCCUUGGUUCGGAAUAACAGUUGGAAACGACUGCUAAUACCGGAUGAUGACGAAAGUCCAAAGAUUUAUCGCCAAGGGAUGAGCCCGCGUAGGAUUAGCUAGUUGGUGAGGUAAAGGCUCACCAAGGCAACGAUCCUUAGCUGGUCUGAGAGGAUGAUCAGCCACACUGGGACUGAGACACGGCCCAGACUCCUACGGGAGGCAGCAGUAGGGAAUAUUGGACAAUGGGCGAAAGCCUGAUCCAGCAAUGCCGCGUGAGUGAUGGAAGCCGUUAGGUUGUAAAGUCUACUUUUACCCGAGAUGAUAAGUGACUAGUAGUACGGGAAGAAAGUAACGACCCCGGACUAACCGUCCGCCGUACCGAACG
rnacentral:rRNA from 1 species